rnacentral:rRNA from 1 species
GGGGAAUAUUGCACAAUGGGGGAAACCCUGAUGCAGCGAUGCCGCGUGAGUGAAGAAGGUCUUCGGAUCGUAAAGCUCUUUCGACAGGGAAGAAACAAAUGACGGUACCUGGAGAAGAAGCCACGGCUAAUCACGUGCCAGCAGCCGCGGUAAUACGUGAGUGGCAAGCGUUAUCCGGAAUUACUGGGCGUAAAGAGCGCGUAGGCGUCUCGAUAAGUCAGGGGUGAAAAGUCAGGGCUUAACCUUGGCCUUGCCUUUGAAACUAUCGAGAUAGAGUAUUGGAUAGGAGGGCGGAACUACAAGUGUAGCGGUGGAAUGCGUAGAUAUUUGUAGGAAUGCCGAUGACGAAGGUAGCUCUCUGGACAAAUACUGACGCUGAGGUGCGAGAGCUAGGGGAGCAAAC